AACGAACGCUGGCGGCAUGCCUAACACAUGCAAGUCGAACGGGAUCCUAGCUUGCUAGGUGAGAGUGGCGGACGGGUGAGUAACACGUGGGAAUCUGCCUUUUGGUUCGGGAUAACCGCGGGAAACUGCGGCUAAUACCGAAUGCCCUCGAGAGAGGAAAGAUUUAUCGCCAGAAGAGGAGCCCGCGUCCGAUUAGGUAGUUGGUGGGGUAAAGCCUACCAAGCCGACGAUCGGUAGCUGGUCUGAGAGGAUGAUCAGCCACACUGGGACUGAGAUACGGCCCAGACUCCUACGGGAGGCAGCAGUGGGGAAUAUUGGACAAUGGGGGCAACCCUGAUCCAGCAAUGCCGCGUGAGUGAUGAAGGCCUUAGGGUUGUAAAGCUCUUUUGCCAGGGAGAUGAUGACUGUACCUGGAGAAUAAGCCCCGGCUAACUUCGUGCCAGCAGCCACGGUAAU
rnacentral:rRNA from 1 species